rnacentral:rRNA from 1 species
ACACGGGGGGAGCAAACGUUGUUCGGAAUUACUGGGCGUAAAGGGCGCGUAGGCGGCCCUGCAAGUGGUGUGUGAAAUGCCCUGGCUCAACCAGGGAACUGCGCACCAAACUGCGGGGCUUGAGGGCAGUAGAGGAAGCUGGAAUUCCUGGUGUAGCGGUGAAAUGCGUAGAUAUCAGGAGGAACACCGUUGGCGAAGGCGAGCUUCUGGGCUGUCCCUGACGCUGAGGCGCGAAAGCUGGGGGAGCAAACAGGAUUAGAAACCCGGGUAGUCC